rnacentral:lncRNA from 1 species
AAAAUUUUACAAGGUUUUCACUUAGUUUUGCUAAAAUGUCCAUCUCUUCAUCUUGUUUCAAUUGUGAGUCAAUUGUGUGGCAUGGGUACAAUUAUGCUCUCUUCAUAUGCAGAAUUAAUGUCAUUUUUUUUACUAUAGAUAUUUUCCAUUUUUCACCUGAGACCACAGGCCAAUUUCAAAAAGAAUAUUUACUUCUAAUUAUGUAGCUUCUAUUACAUAGCUAGUAUUGUCUUUGUUUACUUCAUGUAUAUGCCAAAAAGACCUCAUGACUUAUGAAACGUUCAACUGUUUACUUAAAUUGGCCCAAUAAAUUUAAUAAACUCAAUUAUGUCAAUUUUAUAAAGUAAAAUGAACAGUAACUAAACAAAAACUGGAUUCAAUAGCAUUCUCUAAUUGAAACAAAAUAUAAAAUACACUAAAUAACAUACAAUACACGCACUGUGAAAUUACUCACGUGAAAAUUAUUUUGUGAACACCAUUAAAUUUUAUCAAAGUCACUUUCAUAAUCUCUGAGGUGAUUAUACAAAGAAUGUUUUAUGAAAAGAAAAUUAUGUCUAUGGUGAGCAACAGGCAAACAGACAAACAACAAAAAAAGAAUUUGCACAAGAUGAUUCUAAGCCAGGAGCAAUAACAUUUUAGAUAAAUGAAUUUAAUACACAGCAGAGAAAAUAGAUUUGCUUUCAAAAUCUCUGAAGUUUCUGGUUUGCUGGUAAGUGAUCAACACUUGUAAAAUUAUCUGUUCAUUCUAAUAUUUUUCUUUUCUUCUCAAAGUAGGUACACAACCAUAAACAAAUAUGAUUACUUUCUCUAUAAAUCUGUUACACCUGAAGUUUAUUUUACAGUGAUAUAUCUAUAUAUUUAAAUCCAUGUAAACCAAAACUAAAGGUCUGUAUGUGUUUAGCAGACCAGAGAAGUCAUAUGUUCAACAGAAAAAAGUAGGAUAAAAUUUUAUAAAUAGUUGUUCAGAAUUCAGAAACAUAUAGCUCCAAUUAUACUCAUAAUCUUCAUUACAACCAUCAUAAUAAUCUGUAGUUACAAGUAAACAAAAAUGUAAGUUGUAGAAACCAUAUUCUCUAAAUUAUUUUAAGUUAAAGACCACUGACAAAGGGAUCACUAGAGAUGUUAGUCCACUGUCACCCAAUAGUAUAUUGUUACCUACAACCUUGGGUAAGAUGGGAUAAGUUAACAUCAGUGGCAAGAUACACAUUCAAUGUAAAAUAGCCUUAACACAAUAACAAUAAUUUUGGUUUAUUAAAACAAAUUAAGUUCACACAUUGUCAUUAAAAAGGCAUUUUGAAAUUCACUGUAUUUUAAUUACCUUAAUUUGCAAAUGGUAAGGCAAUUUCCUUCUAAAAUUCAAAUUGUUUCUCUUACUAAGCAGAUUAUUAUCCUGAUCACUUACCACACUCCUAUCAUCCUGUCACUUACGAUACUGCUGUAAACUAAUAAGUGGCCUUUCCACUUAGAAUUUCUUCGUGUGUCUUAGGUUUCAGUUUACUUAAUCCUCCAUGGAAAAGUAUAUAAAUCUGUCCAUCUAAUAUAGAAGAACCUCUCACAACUCUGGUGCAACCACUGACCAUGUUCUUUCACAUAAAUUCUAGAAAUGAAGACACAGCAUCAAAUGUAAGAGUUAAAUUAUAUUGAAAUUUGCUUUUGAAAAAUAUUGAAUCCUUUUAAUAUAAAAAAGUAGGUUCCCUUUAGAGAAAAGUGAUCGAGAUUGCUGACUAGAAGCAGCUAGACUGUGCAGUUCUCAUAGACAGGAAUGCAAGGUAUACAUAAAUACAGCACCUGCAACUGAAACAUCCAGGUACUUGCAUUGGGAAUAAUCAAAGAAACAAUCUAUGGAGAAUGGAGUAAAGCAAGGCAGGACAAUGGGCCACCUGGGAACAACAUGGAGCCAAGGGAACCUCCCCACCCAGUAAAGCAGUGAGUGCAUGUGUGACCCUAGAAACCCAUGAUUCUCCCACAGAUCUCUGCAACCUUCAGGUGAGGAGAUACCCUCAUGAACCCACUUCACCAAGGCCUUCAGUUUAACACACAGAGCUACAUGGAGUCUCAGCAGAUAAGCCACUUAGGCCUGCGCAGAUUCAAGAGCCUUAGAUACUGGCUUUCCAGGCUUCCCAGAAAAAGUAGCUGCAACUCGAGCAAAGCAGGUUACACCCCUGAACAUACCCAUAGGAAAGAGGCAGAAUCCAGGGGGCUGAUAGUGAUGGUCUGUAGGACCCACUUCAACAAUGCCUCACGUGGUAAGACCUACUGGCUUAGAUUCCAGCCAACCAUUGGUAGCAGCACUGCACCUCCCUGGGAUGGAGCUACCAGAAAGAGGAGUGGGCCACCAUCUUUGCUGCUUGAGCAACUUAGCCAUUCCAGCCUUCAGGCUUUGAAGAGCCCAAGCUGACCGGGGGGCGGAAAGGAUCUCCUAGCACAGUACAGGUGCUCUAAAAAGACAUGGCCAGACUGCCUGUUAAAGCAGGUCCCCCGUUUCAUUCCUUCUCACUGGAAAGUACUUCCCAAUGAGGGUCUCCAGCUACCACCACCAGCGCUCUUUGGUUGAUGGAGUUUUGAAACCUCUUUGGGAUACAGUUCCUAGAGGGAGGAGUGAGCUGCCAUUUUUGCUGUUUGUGUGAGUUAGCUGUUCCAGCCUUCUGGCUUUGGAGAAUCCAAAUAAACUGGGGGUGGAAGUGGUACCUCUGAAUAGCAGAGCUGUCCUGCAAAAAUAUGGCUAGACUGCUUUCUUAAGUGGGUCCCCAAUCAUGUUUUCCUCACUGGGUAGGACCUUCAACAGGGGCUUCCAGCUACCUCCUACAGGUGCUUUUGGGCUGGCAACAGGUCUAUACCUCCCUGGGAUGGCGCUCCCAGAGAAAAGGGCAUGCUGCCAUUGUUGCUGUUUUGCAGCAUUCAGUGGUGAUAACUUCCAGUACUGGAAAAUCUGAGGUGACUAGAAACUGUAGUGGACACCCAGCAUACUGCAGCAGCCCUUCAGAAGUGGUCGGACUGUUACGUGAGUGCCUGUUCUCAUAUAUUCUCACGAGGCAGGUUCUCCAGGCCCGGGCCACUAGCCAAUCAUUGCCAGAGCUAUUGAGCCAGUAGCAGCUUAGCAACUCCCUGGACAGAGCCUCCAGGGGCCUCUGCAGUACAACUGUCCUUGCUACCCUCAGACUAAUAAAAAAUCCCAAACCCUAAGUGCCUUAUUCACACCUCAAACUGCAGUUUACCCAAGGAGAGGAAGCCAGCCCAUCCUCCAUGGGUCCCACAAACUACCCACUGCUCCUCAGCAGACAGUAAACCCCUAACUUGGCCAAAAGUAAAGAUCUUCCAUCCUGGGCUGGCUGCACUGAGUAAUUGCUGACCUACAUCUCUCUGAGAUGCAGCCCCCAGAAGACAAGCAAAGAGAUAAUGCAGCAAGCCAGCUCAUGUGGUGGCCAGAGGGUUUGGUGCAAGAGCAUCUGUAGUAAAGUGUGGCCAGUGAUGGCCAUUUCUCUAGGCUCAACUGUCUCCCAUAAGAGACUUUAGCCCUACGGGAACUGUUGGGCCUAAUUUCUGCAGGAUGGUCUUGCAAAUCAGAAGAAGCUGGUCCAACUGAGCACUCCUUGGUCUGCUGGCCUCUCCCAGGGACCCAGUCUGGCCACAGCUGCUUACAGGGCAGUCUCAGGUACCCUGGAAGCUCAUACCAGAGCAUCUGCACUGGAGGGACAUGCCUGACUCAUGAAGAGCUCCAGCAAAGCCUAAGAUGACAGAAGUAGAAUUCAGAAUAUGGGUAGAAACAAACUUCACUGAGUUACAAAAGUAAUUUGCAACCCAAUGCAAGGGAGGAAAAAAAAUUGCAGGAACUGACGGAAAAAACAGCCAGUCUGGAGAAAAAAUGUGGCCAACCUGAUAGAACUGAAAAACACAAUACAAAACCUUUAUAAUGUAAUCACAUAUAUUAACAGCAGAAUAGGCCAAGCAGAGGAAAGAAUCUCAGGGCCUCAAGACUGGCUUUCUGAAAUCAGACAGACAAGAACAGUGAAAAAAGAAUAAAGAGGAAUGAACAAAACCUCUAAGAAAUAUGGGAUUAUGUAAAGAAACCAAAUCUAUGAUGCAAGAGAUUGCCUGAAAGUGAUGGGGAGAAUGAAAACAACUUGAAAUACGUAUUUCAGGAUAACAUCCAUGAGAACUUCCCCAACCUAGAGAGGCCAACAUUCAAAUGCAGGAAAUGUGGAGAACCCCAGUAAGAUACCCCAGGAGAAGGUCAUCCUCAAGACACAUAAUCAUGAGAUUCUCCAGGGUCAAAAUGAAAGAAAAAAUAUGUUAAAGGCAGCUAGAGAGAAAGGCCAGGUCACCUCUAAAAAGAAGCUCAUCAGGAAAACAACAAAUCUUUCAGCUGAAAUCCUACAAGUCAAAAGAGAUUAUAGGGGCCAAUAUUCAACAUUCUUAAAAAAAGAAUUCCAACACAGAAUUUCAUAUCUGACCAAGGUAAGCUUCAGAAGUAAAAAAUAUAUAUGAUCCUAUUCAGACAAGCAAAUGCUGAGAAAAUGUUACCACAGGAUCUGUCUUAAAAGAGCUUCUGAAGAAAGCAUUAAAUAAGAAAAAGACUAUUACCAGUCACUACAAAAGCACACUAAAGUAUACAAACUGUGGACACUAUAAAGCAACCACAGAAACAAAUGUGCAAAAUAGCCAGCUAAGAUCCUAAUAACAGAAUCCAAUCCACACAUAUGAAUACUAACCUUAAAUGUAAA